UACGGAGGGGGCUAGCGUUAUUCGGAAUUACUGGGCGUAAAGCGCACGUAGGCGGAUUGGAAAGUUGGAGGUGAAAUCCCAGGGCUCAACCUUGGAACUGCCUUCAAAACUCCCAGUCUUGAGGUCGAGAGAGGUGAGUGGAAUUCCGAGUGUAGAGGUGAAAUUCGUAGAUAUUCGGAGGAACACCAGUGGCGAAGGCGGCUCACUGGCUCGAUACUGACGCUGAGGUGCGAAAGCGUGGGGAGCAAACAGG
rnacentral:rRNA from 2 species